GGGCGUAUGGCGCAGUUGGUAGCGCGUUCCCUUAGCAUGGGAAAGGUCUCCGGUUCAAAUCCGGAUUCGUCCA